UACGGAGGGAGCUAGCGUUGUUCGGAAUUACUGGGCGUAAAGCGCACGUAGGCGGCUUUGUAAGUUAGAGGUGAAAGCCCGGGGCUCAACCCCGGAAUUGCCUUUAAGACUGCAUCGCUUGAAUCCGGGAGAGGUGAGUGGAAUUCCGAGUGUAGAGGUGAAAUUCGUAGAUAUCGGGAGGAACACCAGUGGCGAAGGCGAUCACCUGGGGUUGUUCUGACGCUGAGGAGCGAAAGCUAGGGGAGCAAACGGG
rnacentral:rRNA from 1 species